UACGUAGGGAGCAAGCGUUGUCCGGAAUCAUUGGGCGUAAAGCGCGCGUAGGCGGCCCUGUAAGUCCGUUGUGAAAGUCAAAGGCUCAACCUUUGAAAGCCGAUGGAUACUGCAGGGCUAGAGUCCGGAAGAGGCGAGUGGAAUUCCCGGUGUAGCGGUGAAAUGCGCAGAUAUCGGGAGGAACACCAAUGGCGAAGGCAGCUCGCUGGGACGGUACUGACGCUGAGGCGCGAAAGCGUGGGGAGCAAACAGG
rnacentral:rRNA from 1 species